rnacentral:rRNA from 1 species
CGCGUAGGCGGGAUGUUUCAAGUUAGGGGUGAAAGGCCUGGGCUCAACCUAGGAACUGCCUCUAAAACUGACGUUCUAGAGUCCGGGAGAGGAUGGCGGAAUUCCCAGUGUAGAGGUGAAAUUCGUAGAUAUUGGGAAGAACACCGGUGGCGAAGGCGGCCAUCUGGUCCGGCACUGACGCUGAGGCGCGAAAGCGUGGGGAGCAAACA